GUAAAACCAUCUGGAUAUUGGUCACCAAAAUGUUGAAGAAGACAUCCAGAAGUAUUCUUAAUUAUCAUCUUUGUCAUAACUAUGUUACGGCUGUUGUGAGACCCCAAUCCACAAAUUGACUUGCAAAGGACAGGAAAGUUCACUCCUAUAUUUUGAAGGCACUAUAUAAUUGGAAAGAAGAUAGCUGACAUGUUGAGAUUAACUUUGGCCCCGAUUGUUUGCUCCUUUUAAAUAAGGAGAAGCAAAGCUAGGAAUUCUAUGACAUGUCUUUGUUUCUGGUGAGAUCAUUAUGAGUCUUUUCACAUGUCAAGAGAUUUCACUGUGUAAGCUAAAAAUAAAAUUCUAAGCCCCCAUUGACUGAACGACCCUCUUUUGUAACCAAAGGGACCCCAGAAAAAGCUUAAGAACUUAGUUUGCAGCCAUACCGGAAUGGGAGGUCAGACAGAGCAGUCUAUUUGUGGCAAUAAGAUAUCAAAUUAUAAACAGAACUGAAGGCCAUGCCAGACAAGGGUUAAGUCACACAGCCUUGGACUUAAAAAAUAAACUAUGCUCCAACUGCUACAAGGCUUUUCUUUUUCUCAAGGAGGUAAACAAGCACUGGCCUCAAGAUAAGCAAUAUUAAAACAACUACAGCUCAUCCAACUCUUAGACACUGACUUCCAGCCCCUGUUCCACCAGAUAUACCUUUCAUUAAACAAGAUCCUGAUUUCAGUAACUUUCUCCAGAGAAGAAGACCACCGACCUUAGACUGGUUCUGGUUGGAUUAAAGAGAGUGUACCCUUGCAUGCCAUUGUGUCCUGCAAGACAUUUUGACGUAUAGAACCUAAUUAUAAAACCAUUAAAUGUUAAGUCUCUACCCCGAAGUGGACAAGGAUUGUAUGUUACAUGCAUUUUUGUUCAAUAUGCAUGUGUCAGGAUCAUCUUCAUAAAUAUUCAUAGCUCCGCCUGUAACCAGUUUAAUAUGUAUGUUUAGCCAACCCAUUCGGCAUAAAGCUCUUGCCCCAACCCCUCUUUUUUCAAAGUGCCUGUCUUUGAUCUUGGUUGGACACAUGUUUUCCAGCCUACGGGAUGACCACCUUGCAGAUUGUCACCCUUUAAUUAUGAAGAAAUGAAGUCUCCAUUUCUACUUUCCAAAUUUAUCGAUAUUGUGGUUACAUUUUUUAAGUUAGCAGUUAUUUAGACCUUACUUUUUUCUAGGCUCUUUGUUGUCUCAUAUUGUGACUGGGCUUGGCUGGAUGACCAGCAGUGCCAUUUCUUCUUCUGAGGGGGAGUAACUAGACAUUUCCCACCUCCCUUACAGUUCAGUGUGGUUAUGUGACUGGUUUCUAGCCAAUAGGAACUAAGAUGAUGUCUUCCCAACAUGAUCUUUGGCUCUCUCUCUUUUUCCAAAUAUAUAGCAAGAAGGAAAGGAUUUCAAGUCACUAGGAAUGAUGGAACCACAAAAUAGAAGGAACUUGAAUAGAAGGAACUUUGAAUAGAAGGAUUGAAAGAAAGCAGAGCCUCUCUUUCAAUCCGCACUGGACUGUGGCAAGAUCAAGAAAUUAACAUUGAAUGUGUAAGCCACUGAAAAUUUGCAGAUGUUGGUUAGUACAUACUGAUUAAUGCACCUAUUAAGAUAAACUUAAGAGUAGGUUUUGAAUAAUUCAAAUAUCCUACAAAAUUCAGGUAGGUUUGGAAAAUUUGCAAGGACUUUAUUAAUAUUAUUUAUUCUCUAUCUCCUAGUAAUGCCACUGAACUUUUAAUUAUGUAAGGGUUGGAAAGUGCCAACAUCUACCUGUAGACAUAGCUUCUCAAUACUGGAUUUUGGUUAAUCAAUGCAAAGGAAGAGGCAAAGCUGCGCAAUACCUAAAACAUUUCAGACAGAUGAAAAUCUGAUCUCUGUUUAAAGUUGGUCUCUGAGAAAGAUAAUUUUCAGCCUCCUGAAAAUGGAAUAUUCCACAAUCUUGUUCUCAAAUUCCUACAUGUCUACAACUCUCUGACUUGAAAGGCAGCUGUCUCUUUUAG
rnacentral:lncRNA from 1 species